UACGUAGGUGGCAAGCGUUGUCCGGAUUUACUGGGCGUAAAGAGCGCGCAGGCGGUCGAUCAAGUCGCGUGUGAAAGCCCCCGGCUCAACUGGGGAGGGUCACGCGAUACUGAUCGACUCGAAGGCAGGAGAGGGUAGUGGAAUUCCCGGUGUAGUGGUGAAAUGCGUAGAUAUCGGGAGGAACACCAGUGGCGAAGGCGACUACCUGGCCUGUUCUUGACGCUGAGGCGCGAAAGCUAGGGAGCAAACGGG
rnacentral:rRNA from 1 species